CCUACGGGAGACAGCAGUGAGGAAUAUUGGUCAAUGGGCGCGAGCCUGAACCAGCCAAGUAGCGUGAAGGAUGACUGCCCUACGGGUUGUAAACUUCUUUUAUAAAGGAAUAAAGUGAGGCACGUGUGCCUUUUUGUAUGUACUUUAUGAAUAAGGAUCGGCUAACGCCGUGCCAGCAGCCGCGGUAAUACGGAGGUUCCGAGCGUUAUCCGGCUUUAUUGGGUUUAAAGGGAGCGUAGAUGGGUUGUUAAGUCAGUUGUGAAAGUUUGCGGCUCAACCGUCAAUUGUCAAUGGAUACUGGCAGUCUUUACUACACUUCAGGCAGGCCGACUUCGUGGUGUAGCGGU
rnacentral:rRNA from 1 species